rnacentral:rRNA from 1 species
GUAGAGCACUGUUAAGGCUAGGGGGUCAUCCCGACUUACCAACCCUUUGCAAACUCCGAAUACCGUGGAGUACAGUAUGGCAGACAGACUGCGGGUGCUAACGUCCGUAGUCAAAAGGGAAACAACCCAGACCGUCAGCUAAGGUCCCAAAGUUACAGUUAAGUGGGAAACGAUGUGGGAAGGCAUAGACAGCUAGGAGGUUGGCUUAGAAGCAGCCAUCCUUUAAAGAAAGCGUAAUAGCUCACUAGUCGAGUCGGCCUGCGCGGAAGAUUUAACGGGGCUCAAACUGUACACCGAAGCUACGGGUUCAUCGAAUGAUGAGCGGUAGAGGAGCGUUCUGUAAGCUGUUGAAGGUGGAUUGAGAAGUCUGCUGGAGGUAUCAGAAGUGCGAAUGCUGACAUGAGUAACGAUAAGGGGAGUGAAAAACUUCCCCGCCGGAAGACUAAGGGUUCCUGUCCAAUGCUAAUCAGGGCAGGGUUAGUCGACCCCUAAGGCGAGGCCGAGAGGCGUAGUCGAUGGGAAACGGGUUAAUAUUCCCGUACUUGUUAUUACUGCGAUGGGGGGACGGAGAAAGCUAAUCGAUCCAGGCGAUGGUUGUCCUGGUUUAAGGUUGUAGGCGGUAAACUUAGGCAAAUCCGGGUUUACAUUAACGCUGAGGACUGAUGACGGUGAAUCUACGGAUUCCGAAGUCGAUGAUGCUCUGCUUCCAAGAAAAGCCUCUAAGCUUCAGGUAAUUGCGAACCGUACUCCAAACCGACACAGGUGGUCAGGUAGAGAAUACUAAGGCGCUUGAGAGAACUCGGGUGAAGGAACUCGGCAAAAUUGUACCGUAACUUCGGGAGAAGGUACGCCCUUGCUUGUGUAAUGCUUUACGCAUGAAGCAGGUGAGGGCCGCAGUGACCAGGAGGCUGGGACUGUUUAUUAAAAACACAGCACUGUGCUAAAUCGAAAGAUGACGUAUACGGUGUGACACCUGCCCGGUGCCGGAAGGUUAAUUGAUGGGGUUAGCGCAAGCGAAGCUCUUGAUCGAAGCCCCGGUAAACGGCGGCCGUAACUAUAACGGUCCUAAGGUAGCGAAAUUCCUUGUCGGGUAAGUUCCGACCUGCACGAAUGGUGUAACCAUGGCCUCGCUGUCUCCACCCGAGACUCAGUGAAAUUGAAAUUGCAGUGAAGAUGCUGUGUACCCGCACCUAGACGGAAAGACCCCGUGAACCUUUACUAUAGCUUGGCACUGAACAUUGACCCUACAUGUGUAGGAUAGGUGGGAGACUAUGAAGCAUUGUCGCCAGAUGAUGUGGAGUCUACCUUGAAAUACCACCCUUGUACGUUUGAUGUUCUAACAUUGCGCCCUGAACGGGCGUGUGGACAGUGUCUGGUGGGUAGUUUGACUGGGGCGGUCUCCUCCCAAAGCGUAACGGAGGAGCACGAAGGUUGGCUAAUCCUGGUCGGACAUCAGGAGGUUAGUGCAAUGGCAUAAGCCAGCUUAACUGCGAGACAGACACGUCGAGCAGGUACGAAAGUAGGUCAUAGUGAUCCGGUGGUUCUGAAUGGAAGGGCCAUCGCUCAACGGAUAAAAGGUACUCCGGGGAUAACAGGCUGAUACCGCCCAAGAGUUCAUAUCGACGGCGGUGUUUGGCACCUCGAUGUCGGCUCAUCACAUCCUGGGGCUGAAGUCGGUCCCAAGGGUAUGGCUGUUCGCCAUUUAAAGUGGUACGCGAGCUGGGUUUAGAACGUCGUGAGACAGUUCGGUCCCUAUCUGGUGUGGGCGUUGGAUGAUUGAAGGGAGCUGCUCCUAGUACGAGAGGACCGGAGUGGACGAACCGCUGGUGUUCGGGUUGUUUUGCCAAAGGCAUUGCCCGGUAGCUACGUUCGGAAUCGAUAAGCGCUGAAAGCAUCUAAGCGCGAAGCGAGCCCUAAGAUGAGUCAUCCCUGUACAUUUAAUGUACCUAAAGGGUUGU